UACGGAGGAUGCAAGCGUUAUCCGGAAUGAUUGGGCGUAAAGCGUCCGCAGGUGGCUGUGUAAGUCUGCUGUUAAAGAGUCUAGCUCAACUAGAUAAAAGCAGUGGAAACUACACGGCUAGAGUACGUUCGGGGCAGAGGGAAUUCCUGGUGUAGCGGUGAAAUGCGUAGAGAUGCGGAGGAACACCGAUGGCGAAGGCAGCCCCCUGGGCCAACACUGACGCUCAGGCACGAAAGCGUGGGGAGCAAACAGG
rnacentral:rRNA from 1 species